GUUAAGAGAAACCACACCUAUGCCUUGUCAUUAACCAAUGAGGGUCAUCCCUAUGUACUACGUAGCAAAUGGUAUUUAUGGCCCAGCAAGCUCCGCCACACCCUUCUUCUCUUUCAGGCUAGCUGAUGGCUGUCCUUGCAGGAGCUUGGCCUCUGGCCAAGCUCCAUCUUUAAUCUUUCUCUAUUCAUCUCUCUGACCUGUAUUGUACUGGUAAAAGCCUUUGGAAUAGUCCUUUGAUCAGAGUUUGGCUGUGGCUCAUUGAUAAUUAAUAAAGACUCAUUCUGACCACCUCAUAUCUCUAAUUUGACUCCAUCAUCCCCCUCAUGGUAUCUAAACUUCUAUCCUGUCUCUAUCUUCCUACCUUGUGGCUUCUCUCCCCUCUGAGAGAGACCACAAAUGGCGCCCACGUGACCAGGACUCACACCUGGCACUUUUUCAUGGCAUUCAACACUUUUUAUUCCUCACAGCUGGUAGGCAGGGCGCGCCCCUUACACGAAAAAAAAAAGAAAAAGGAAAAAAAAACAGAAGGCGGCGAUGGCGGAUGUCCGAAGGAAUUUUAUCGAUUCUCUGGCCAAGAACGAUACAUGGAGUCCAUGGAAGAGGAUCAAGAGCAUCUAAUGGCAGGAAAAUCUGCCCAGAAGAAGGACAGAUGGCAGAGGUGUCUGGCACAGGACACCAGAAAUACAGCACAUGGAUUGUAAAGCCUAUGAUUGCCCUAUAGGCAGGUUUAACACACUAUCCACACACACAUGUAAUUGUAUGCGAAACAAUUUGACUACAGAAGAGUAUCAUUAAGUCACUAACAGAUAUUCUGUUCUAGGAAUAUAGGGGUAUUUGGUGAAAGAUCUAACUUUAUUACAGGCCUGAAAAUUUUGAAUGGUACUGGUACAAUGUGUAACUUGAAAUCAUUUUAUUGGAAUUGUUCCAUGUUAGCCAAAUUCGAUCAAAUAUCAAAAGGGUAUAAUUGGGGAUGUUAUGACAGUAUAAGGAAUGCUGUCUACUUGCAGCACAAAUGGGUAUUGCUAUCCAACAUGUAAUGAUGAUUAUUGUCUUAAAGGGUAUCUAGAAGUCAAUCUUGUUUAGCUAUGACUGUUCCACUUUCGUAAAGAAAGAGGUAGAUCUGGUAUCACUAAUCAUCUAUCUCUUCUACACCCCACAAAGGAAGAUAAGUUAAAGCUUUGUAAUAAUCAGUAUUGAAUGUAAUGAUAAAGAUCACAUUGUGUGAGAUACCUGAAGUGGGUUAAAUAUCAUCAAGAUAUUAAGACUGUAAGGGACCCAAGGGGAUGAUAACGUUGGGUCGAGGUCUUGUUUAUAUGUUCACAGAUAAUGAAAACAUCUGGUCACCCACGUCAUGCUUCAUGCCAGCUGAUACAGACCAGGAAGAGAAGCAGACGGAAGGUGAUGGCAUCAGCUAUCUACAUGCCAGCCACAAUCCAGGCACGCUGGAGGGACACUUCUUUGGUGACUAAUAUCACUCCAGAACAAUGACAUUACACUAUUAGAGACAUUGGCUAUUAGGCCACUGAUGGACACUUGUCAUGCUGACAUCCAUUGAGAUGGGGUACCCAGAGCAACAUCAAGUAUGCUAACUCAGAAGGACUAAAUCACACUUGUGUCUGUACAAGACACCAAAUAUGUCCCACACUCCAAAGACUUUGCGAUGGGAUUGAGAUGAAAUAGCUACAAAUUGUCUAGCUACUAAUGUAUACCCUGUAUUUUGUAUAUGAUACUGUCAAAAGAAAUGUAUAUUGUAUGCAUUGUAAAGCUACCACUUGUAUUGUAAGAAAUGCUGUUAUCAACAAGGGUAUAGACCUUGGUAUGAUUCUCCAAAGAAGUAGGAGAUAGAAAACUUUCAUUCAUAGCAUAGAUCUGAUACCUCUGACAACAAAAAUGAGGUGCUAAGCAGGAAAUGAUGCACAGACAAGGUUAAUGGACAGAUGACACUGAUGUUACUCUCGAGAAAGGAUGAGAGAUCAGGGAAAAGACACUAGGAAAUCUUUAAUCAGGAACCUGAGUUAUUGUAAGAGAUCAUUGACAUCCAGGCAAAGAUUAUGUUCCUGACAAUACCAGGAUGGACAUUAAGGGCUGACUACCAGAGAUGUAGUUAAGUGUUAAUACCAUUGUUAACCAUUACUCCUGAUACCCUGUCUUUGUGGGUAAUAUUUUAAUAGGAAAAAUGUCUUGCUCUCCUCCAACAAUCCCAGAAUUCAGAUGGCCACUGGAUUCGGGAUCUAUUGGCUUCCCUUUCAUAUACUGGAAGACAUUCUGGUAUAUGGAAGUAAGACCUCAGGAAAACACUGAGGACUCUAGGUGUGACAAUUUCUGUGGACGCGCAGUCAUUGUCUCUCCUAGGUGGAAAAAAUUAUUAUUGCACAAAAACAUGGAGCAAGGGCAAAGUAUAAUCUAAGUUUUACUGUUUUGGAGUAUGGAUUAAAAACAUGACACAAUAGGCACAGAUAAGCGUGUAGAAAAAGCACAUUGAAUAUUAUUCACUGACAAUUAGGAAUGAAAAAGCUAUGUCAAAUUCCAUAGGUACAAGAAACUGUAGAAAUUGUUUUUACAUGGAAAACAACUUAAGCUUCUAUUUACCCAAACAUUGGUUUGGUGGAAUGAAUUUUGCAAAUAGUGGUAAUGGUAUAGGUUUGGUUAUCAUAUUGAUGGGUUUAUUUAUACAAGCAGAGAUUUAAAUAAGGAAGACAUAAGGGAUAUGCAGUCAAAACUUGAAAUAUUACUUCAUUAUCACCAUCAUGGUUAUUUAAGUUACAAUUGAGAAUGUAAAAUGUAUGGGAAUAUUGGUAUUUGUUAAAAAUUGCACUGUGAUUAUUGUAUUAAUGUUUUUUGCAAAGCCUGUAAUGGUGCAAAAUUAUGUUCAUAUACAAGGCGAAUUUUGAUCUAUUUAGAUCAGGAAUUAGGAAUCAUUGGGAAUAUAAGUUCUGAUAUUUUACAUUGGCUCAGUUUCAAAGAUACCACAUAGACAGUGAGCCAAGAGAAUCUUGUAUUAAUUUUGGGAUCAGGUUCCCAGGAUCAAUUUUCUAAGAUCAUUUGACAUGUGAUAACAUGAUCCUCCAGAAUUGUUCAGAGAGGAUGUUUUUCUUUGAAAGGAUCUCUCCCUACCCACAAACAAAAAGAAAAGGGAGAGGAAUCUCAUAGAGAUCAGUAUGUUCAUUUUAAAGAACACUUUUGAUUCAUUUUCAAGUAUUCAACUUUGAUUUUUCUGUUGCACAAUUAUUGCCAGAAUUUUUAAGUACAAGGAAAGUACUGUUAAUGCUCUGAUCCAGAAUUAUGAAGGUGCAAAGAUUUCUAUAAUUGCAGUCACCCAACAGUCGGUGAACAUGAGAACAUGACAGAAAUUGUUAAUUUUUCAGAUGACCAUUCUGGAGAGUGAUGUCUGAUUGCAUCUAAGGGGAAUCAUAAUGAAUCUUUCAUUAUGGACCAGACAGCCUCAGCCACGAUUAUACACUUUCCAUAUGAAAUGGAUGUUUGAGGUUGGGAAAUGCAGAGACAUGGCGUACUGACACCCUCAGUCGCUGAAUGUCCUGGCAUCGAGUUACCAACCAGUUUCCUAUGUGGCAGGCAUCUGGCAGUGAGCACGGAAAGAUCCCCAAGAUGCAGUAUCAGUACGAGAGAAAGGAAGGACUUAUCCUUCAUCUCCAGAGAUAGUAUUUUGCUAACUGUUGAAAAGGCGGACAACUUCUGCAUAUAGUGUCCAUCUCUUCUUUUGUUACUCUUCAUUUUUCUUUACCCCAAACAGGAUGUCACAGGACUGGCCGACCCUGUGAUUGAGUCUUGUACUGCCCGGACAGGGACUUUCAUUCGUAACCCCGAUUCCUUUGCUGGUCUUAGGAUGACGAAGAGUUAACAGCUUUUGCCCCGAGACUGCAGCUCGGAUGGGCAGAAGAAUCGAACAGAGAGAGUGCAGUAUUUGUGGGCCUCCUCUGUUCCCCAACUUUAUUAUUGCACCUGUCAUGUGAACCAUAGAAUUCUACCUCAUUAGACCAGGAUCAGUAGCGUGGAAAUUAUUUUCUUAACAUUUUUAUAUCUACUAAGACUGUUGCAUUGAUCUUGAAAUGCAGUCAGACAGAUAGAAAGAUCAGUUUGGGAAUUUUUAAGAUUGAUCACUGAAUCAGUUUAUGCUGAUGUUCACUCUUGAUUGGUAUAUCUAAGUUAUACAAUCAGGGUGGGUUUUUCAUCUCUGUAUCAGAAUAUGAUUAUGCACCAGAGUGUUUGUAUUUGUUAAUGCUGUAAUGUUGUUACAUUUUGAUAUUACACUAUUCAUUUGUGUGUAAAACAAAAAGGGGGAAUUGUAGCAGUCAGAUUGCCUUAAAAGAGAACAUGCUCAGUCUUGAGUAUGCGCAGUAUUGCUCAUGGCUGGGAAGGCCUCUGACCCUUGACCCCAGCUUCUCCCAGGUUAGGCGGGAAAACAAGUUUCUUUGUUCUCGCCUGGUUAAGUGAAACCACACCUAUGCCUUGUCAUUAACCAAUGAGGGUCAUCCCUAUGUACUACGUAGCAAAUGGUAUUUAUGGCCCAGCAAGCUCCGCCACACCCUUCUUCUCUUUCAGGCUAGCUGAUGGCUGUCCUUGCAGGAGCUUGGCCAGAGGCUUUAAUCUUUCUCUAUUCAUCUCUCUGACCUGUAUUGUACUGGUAAAAGCCUUUGGAAUAGUCCUUUGAUCAGAGUUUGGCUGUGGCUCAUUGAUAAUUAAUAAAGACUCAUUCUGACCACCUCA